rnacentral:rRNA from 1 species
UACGGGGGGGGCAAGCGUUGUUCGGAAUUACUGGGCGUAAAGGGUCUGUAGGUGGCUCGCUAAGUCAGACGUGAAAUCCCUCAGCUUAACUGGGGAACUGCGUCUGAGACUGAUGAGCUCGAGUGCAGGAGAGGAAUGCGGAAUUCCAGGUGUAGCGGUGAAAUGCGUAGAUAUCUGGAGGAACACCGGUGGCGAAGGCGGCAUUCUGGACUGCAACUGACACUGAGAGACGAAAGCCAGGGGAGCAAACGGG